rnacentral:tRNA from 1 species
GGCGGAUGUAGCCAAGUGGAUUAAGGCGGGACCAAGUUACGAUUGUAUCUUUUUCUGC